rnacentral:rRNA from 1 species
GAUGAACGCUGGCGGCGUGCCUAAUACAUGCAAGUCGAGCGAACAUACGGGGAGCUUGCUCCUCUGACGUUCGCGGCGGGCGUGUGAGUCACACGUGGAUACCCUCCCUAUGAGACUGGGAUAACUUCGAAACCCCGGAGCUAAUACCGGAUAAUAUAUUGAACCGCAUGGUUCAAUAGAGAAAGACGUUUUUGCUAUCACUUAUAGAUGGAUCCGCGCCGCAUUAGCUAGUUGGUAAGGUAACGGCUUACCAAGGCAACGAUGCGUAGCCGACCUGAGAGGUGGACGGCCCAACUGGGACCGGAGAACGGGCCCAAAUCCCUACGGGAGGCAGCAUUAGGAAAUCUUCGGAAAUGGGCGAAGGCCGGACGGGGCAACGCGGCGUGGCGGAUGAGGGUCCUCGGUUCGUAAGACCUGGUUAUCAGGGAGGAACAAAUUUGUAAGUAAAGAUGGACGUCUUGACGGUACCUAAUCAGAAAGCCACGGCUAACUACGUG